rnacentral:lncRNA from 1 species
UUUCAGUUUAUCUAGAAGCUUAACUUUAGGUAUUCCUCUAUUUUGGUCGUAUUUCUAGGUCAUCAUAUUUAAAAUUUCUUCCUUCUUUGCUUGCUUCCUUAUUAUCAUCAAAAUUGAUCUUAUUAAUUAAAAGAUCCUAAAUGUCUUGCCUUUUGCUCACCCUCAAACCCAGCCCCCAGCGCGCCUUCUCGACCAGUUAAGGUGCACAGCUGGCUAAACGGGUAUGGUCUGUACUUUUCAUGAAAUGUAAGCGGCUGGAUCCCUGGCAACUUUUAAUGUACGGCCUUUAAGAUGUCUUUUUCUUGAGGUUGAACUACUGUUGCUUGUACUGGAGAACUGUACAGAGCUGAGAAUUAGCUGGGUUUUUUUGGAUUGUUUUAACUUUAUUUAAGGGAGGGGGAGGUGGGACGGGAUUACCCUCGGGAAAGGAAAAAAGCCAACUUUCCUUGGCGUGGUAA